ACAUGCCAUCCUCCCUGGAUCCCCGCCACGAGCUCCGCCGCGUCCAACAGGGGCUCGAACUUCGUGAAGCCCAGGGGCACGUGCAGGCCGGGUAUUGAACCGCGAAAAGUCCCACUUCCGGGACGCCGACGUCGCUAGGGGUCGAUGGAAGGCAACAUCGGUCGCACCGUCAUCGCAAGGCGCGACUGAGUCCCGCGCGGUCUGAGACCC
rfam:Microbial mat metagenome hsmat01_BHWG8339_y1, whole genome shotgun sequence.